rnacentral:rRNA from 1 species
CGCGGCCUAUCAGCUUGUUGGUGAGGUAACGGCUCACCAAGGCAUUGACGGGUAGCUGGUCUGAGAGGACGAUCGGCCACACUGGGACUGAGACACGGCCCAGACUCCUGCGGGAGGCAGCAGUGGGGAAUCUUGCGCAAUGGGCGAAAGCCUGACGCAGCAACGCCGCGUGGGGGAUGAAGGCUCUCGGGUUGUAAACCCCUUUCAGCAGGGACGAAAUUGACGGUACCUGCAGAAGAAGCCCCGGCCAACUACGUGCCAGCAGCCGCGGUGACACGUAGGGGGCGAGCGUUGUCCGGAAUUAUUGGGCGUAAAGAGCUCGUAGGCGGUUCAGUAAGUCGGGUGUGAAAACUCAAGGCUCAACCUUGAGACGCCACUCGAUACUGCUGUGACUUGAGUCCGGUAGAGGAGUGUGGAAUUCCUGGUGUAGCGGUGAAAUGCGCAGAUAUCAGGAGGAACACCAGCGGCGAAGGCGACACUCUGGGCCGGUACUGACGCUGAGGAGCGAAAGCGUGGGUAGCAAACAGGAUUAGAUACCCUGGUAGUCCACGCCGUAAACGUUGGGCACUAGGUGUGGGUCUCAACCAACGAGAUCCGCGCCGUCGCUAACGCAUUAAGUGCCCCGCCUGGGGAGUACGG